rnacentral:rRNA from 1 species
UGUUUUUCAACACGCCAGCGCGGCGCAAAUUUUUGAAAUCAGAAAACACGGAAUACGCGCAUUGCGCCACGAUGUUGGAGCGUUUGGCGUUGGCGAAUCCGCAGAUUGAGUUUUCUUUGAAAAACAAUGGCAAAAACGUGUUUCAUUAUCCAGCACAAUCGGCGGAACAGCGCGUGGCGAAAAUUAUGGGUGCGGAUUUUCAGGCAGCCUGUUUGCCUGUGGAUAGCGGCGAAAAUGCCUUGCGUUUGCGCGGUUUUAUUUCCAAGCCAACUUUUGCGAAAGGCAAAUCGGAUUUGCAAUUUUGCUUUGUAAACAAUCGUUUUGUGCGCGAUAAAGUGAUGUUGCACGCGGUCAAGCAGGCGUAUCGCGAUGUGUUGCAUAAUCAGAUUACGCCAGCGUUUGUGCUGUUUUUGGACAUUCCACCUGAAUGGGUUGAUGUGAACGUCCACCCGACCAAGACGGAAAUUCGUUUCCGCGACAGUCAGGCGGUGCAUCAGUUAAUUUUUCAUUGUUUAAACAAGGUAUUGGCGGAUACUCGUGCCGAUGUUACCGACAGCGUGAGCAAUGUGGGCGAGAUUUUGCAGGAGCGAGUUGCCAAUCAAUCUACCAAUACGAAAACGGAUUUUUCAGGCAGCCUGAAAACAGAUUUUCCUAAUCAUUAUCAAAAAGUUACACCUGUGAGUUAUUCGGCGUUUCACGCACCGCAGCAGCGAAGUUUGACUUUGCGCGAACGUCAAUCUGCGAUAAAUACUUACGUGGAGUUGUAUCGUGAUGAUGAAUUGAGUGCAUUUGAAUCUUUCAGGCAGCCUGAAAAUACAAUUCAAGCUGUUGAGCCUAAAACAGAAACGCCAGAAUACCCAUUGGGUUUUGCGUUGGCGCAAUUAUUGGGAAUUUACAUUUUGGCGCAAACGGCGGACGGUUUGAUUUUGGUAGAUAUGCACGCGGCGGCGGAACGUGUGAAUUACGAAAGAAUGAAAGCGGCGCGCGUUUCAGGCAGCCUGAAAGCGCAAAUAUUGUUGAUUCCAGUUAUUUUUUCUGCUUCACACGAAGAACGAGCCACAGCAGCGGAUUUUGCUGAAACAUUGCGUGAUUAUGGUUUGAGUUUGGUAGAAAUGGGCGAUGGACAGUUGGCGGUGCGUUCUGUGCCACAAAUGUUGGGGAAAUCAGACGUGGCGGAAUUGGCGAAAGAUGUUUUGCGUGAAUUGGCGGCAGUUGGCAGUUCGCAAACCAUUGAAUCGCUAGAAAAUCAAAUUUUGGGGACAAUGGCGUGCCAUGGUUCGGUACGCGCUGGACGACAACUGACGUUACCUGAAAUGAAUGCGUUGCUGCGCGAUAUGGAAGCAACUGAACGCAGCAAUCAAUGCAAUCAUGGUCGCCCGACUUGGGUACGUUUGAGUUUGGCGGAUUUGGAUUCGUUGUUUUUGCGUGGGCAGUAAAACAAAAAGCAGCCUGAAAUCUCUUUCAGGCUGCUUUUUGUUUGGGUUAAGAAAGAUUUCUUUGGAGAGAUAUUUAAGUUGCGUAUCAGUUUGUAUGGAUUUAUGCAGAAGAAAAGUAAAAAAAUAUGGAAAUAAAAUUUCUUAAUAAAUAAUGGGUUGGUAUAUUUUUGUAGAAUUUUUUANGCAAACCGACACAGGUGGGCAGGAUGAGAAUUCUAAGGCGCUUGAGAGAACUCGGGAGAAGGAACUCGGCAAAUUGAUACCGUAACUUCGGGAGAAGGUAUGCCCUCUAAGGUGAAGGAUUUACUCCGUAAGCCCCUGAGGGUCGCAGAGAAUCGGUGGCUGCGACUGUUUAUUAAAAACACAGCACUCUGCUAACACGAAAGUGGACGUAUAGAGUGUGACGCCUGCCCGGUGCUGGAAGGUUAAUUGAAGAUGUGCAAGCAUCGGAUCGAAGCCCCAGUAAACGGCGGCCGUAACUAUAACGGUCCUAAGGUAGCGAAAUUCCUUGUCGGGUAAGUUCCGACCCGCACGAAUGGCGUAACGAUGGCCACACUGUCUCCUCCCGAGACUCAGCGAAGUUGAAAUGGUUGUGAAGAUGCAAUCUCCCCGCUGCUAGACGGAAAGACCCCGUGAACCUUUACUGUAGCUUUGCAUUGGACUUUGAAGUCACUUGUGUAGGAUAGGUGGGAGGCUUUGAAGCAGAGACGCUAGUCUCUGUGGAGCCGUCCUUGAAAUACCACCCUGGUGACUUUGAGGUUCUAACCCAGACCCGUUAUCCGGGUCGGGGACCGUGCAUGGUAGGCAGUUUGACUGGGGCGGUCUCCUCCCAAAGAGUAACGGAGGAGUUCGAAGGUUACCUAGGUCCGGUCGGAAAUCGGACUGAUAGUGCAAUGGCAAAAGGUAGCUUAACUGCGAGACCGACAAGUCGAGCAGGUGCGAAAGCAGGACAUAGUGAUCCGGUGGUUCUGAAUGGAAGGGCCAUCGCUCAACGGAUAAAAGGUACUCCGGGGAUAACAGGCUGAUUCCGCCCAAGAGUCCAUAUCGACGGCGGAGUUUGGCACCUCGAUGUCGGCUCAUCACAUCCUGGGGCUGUAGUCGGUCCCAAGGGUAUGGCUGUUCGCCAUUUAAAGUGGUACGUGAGCUGGGUUUAAAACGUCGUGAGACAGUUUGGUCCCUAUCUGCAGUGGGCGUUGGAAGUUUGAAGGGGGCUGCUCCUAGUACGAGAGGACCGGAGUGGACGAACCUCUGGUGUACCGGUUGUUUCGCCAGAAGCAUAGCCGGGUAGCUAAGUUCGGAAGAGAUAAGCGCUGAAAGCAUCUAAGCGCGAAACUCGCCCAAAGAUGAGACUUCCCUUGCGGUUUAACCGCACUAAAGAGUCGUUCUAGACCAGGACGUUGAUAGGUUAGGUGUGGAAGAGUGGUAACACUUGAAGCUAACUAAUACUAAUUGCUCGUGAGGCUUGACU